rnacentral:piRNA from 1 species
CUAAGAGUCAGGUUAGAUUCGUAGUACC